AAGUUAAGUCAGCAACCUUCUACCAGACUGCAAGAUUCAUCUCUUCCAAAGGAUGUCGUACCUUUCCAGAUACACUGUGUUGUGUGUGGAUAAGAAAUGCAGAGUGGUACCACCAAUCACCUAAGCCACCAUUCCCCUAACAGACAAAAGGCUCAUGGGGACAGUUCCUGCAGUUUACAGCAAAGCUCUCAAUUGUAGCCCUACAAACUUCAGGUAAGUGAUAAAUCUGGGCUUCAAGAUAUCUCUGUACUCACUUUAAGUUUAUACUUCAUUUGAACAAAACUUACAAUUUCAGCAUCAAAAUCCAGGUUUAGAUCCCAGACCGAACUUUGUCUCCUUCAUUAAACUUCAUUUCAGAUGAUCUAUAAGCCACAUACAUGUUCACUACUUAUGGCGGAUAAGAACUUUCGCAAAUUGAUUAUAAAUGCGUUUUCCCAGAUAUACACCCUCCUCUUGCAGACACUGCCGAUGGUGAAGCUUGGGUGCACUGGGCCGGUUAUCCAGCCGUGUGGAAUCAACAUCUCCAGCUGAACUGGGGCCGGGAAUUAUAUAAGAAUCCUUAGCAGCAUGAGUGCCAGCCAGUCAUUGCUGUUCUUUGCAGUGCUGAGGAGGACAGUCCUGCCAACAUAACAGUUUGUUCAAUAACAGGAGACAAACAGAAACACAGAGGUGCUAUACAUUCCGAUGGAAAAGACAACAAAAGCAUCUCCCAUCAUUUUGGCGUGGCUCAGAUCAAGAGGAGAAUUUUAAGAAAGGUGAUGGUUGGGCACACACAAGAAGACAUAGAUCACAGGUGUCCAGGCAUAUGAGUAGACUGGAGUUUCACACUCUGCCAAACUUACUUCAUCAGAGGAUCAGAAAGCUUCUCAAGAUCCCGCACUGCACACUUAGAUAUAGUCUUUGACUACAACAAGGGGAUGAAAGUACAGAGAGGUCCAAUUGAAAUCAAUUCUGUGCUGCGUCAUUUCUUCUUCUGGAAGUCGAUGGACAUGAUUUAUCAUGGCAUCAAGUGUGCAGUUUGUCGACUAUCAGCAGUCUUGUUCACCAGCUGUGCAACUUGAGCUGGUAGCUUUAUUGCUUGAAGCCACUGCAUAAGAGGGGGAAGGUGCAGGCUCAUCAAAGUCUCAAAAGUUGAAACUAGGAAAAGAAUUUUGUCAAGAGUGUGAAUCUAUUUGCUUUGAAAACAAUCGUUACAAUGAUUUGGUUUCCUUUGAAACUUGAUACAUACUAUGUGUAUGUUGAAUGAAUUGAGAUGCUUAAAUAAAGAACCGCUAUUCAAAUAUCAGGAAACUGCAUUUUUCAUACU